rnacentral:lncRNA from 1 species
CAAAAUGAUGGUUGAGGCCUCUGGUGGACGUGAAGUUCCAUCCAAUGGCCAUCAUCUAGGCCUUGCUCCAGGGCUGCAGAUGUUACCUCUGCUGUUUCUGCUGCUGUUGCUGCUGUCCCAGCAAAGGCCAUGCUCUUGCGGUCUGCAGAGUUCCAGACUGCCCAUGUAUGCCUGUGUGUACCUGAUGGCCAGGCCAACUGCUUAGCACUCAAGCUACCACUGUCUGCUGUACCUGCAGACCUGAGACCACAUGUUUACUAUCAUCUGGUUAUGUCCUCUGCUCAAUGCAUGCUCUAUUGCCCCAUUAAACUUUACUUAUAAGGCCUAGGUACAAAAUUAUAAAAUGAUUAAGGAUUUCAAGACAGCAUUGAAUUCCACAGAGCAUUGAACCAAGCCCGAGGACCUUUCUGAGAGUGGGGUCCUGUGUUAUCGCACUGGAGUGCCCAUAAGCCUGGCCCUGUUGGCUGAACUUGAUGGAAGGGUGAGCAUCACUGGACAUUCCACAUGCUGCUGGCUGCCAUGAUGUGAUAGGAGCAAGUAGGGAAGAGCACACCAGAACCAGGAAGAGAAGCCCUUCUCUUUCAGCAUCCCUCCAGUGUC